GAUGAACGCUGGCGGCGUGCCUAAUACAUGCAAGUCGAGCGAACGGACGAGAAGCUUGCUUCUCUGAUGUUAGCGGCGGACGGGUGAGUAACACGUGGAUAACCUACCUAUAAGACUGGGAUAACUUCGGGAAACCGGAGCUAAUACCGGAUAAUAUUUUGAACCGCAUGGUUCAAAAGUGAAAGACGGUCUUGCUGUCACUUAUAGAUGGAUCCGCGCUGCAUUAGCUAGUUGGUAAGGUAACGGCUUACCAAGGCAACGAUGCAUAGCCGACCUGAGAGGGUGAUCGGCCACACUGGAACUGAGACACGGUCCAGACUCCUACGGGAGGCAGCAGUAGGGAAUCUUCCGCAAUGGGCGAAAGCCUGACGGAGCAACGCCGCGUGAGUGAUGAAGGUCUUCGGAUCGUAAAACUCUGUUAUUAGGGAAGAACAUAUGUGUAAGUAACUGUGCACAUCUUGACGGUACCUAAUCAGAAAGCCACGGCUAACUACGUGCCAGCAGCCGCGGUAAUACGUAGGUGGCAAGCGUUAUCCGGAAUUAUUGGGCGUAAAGCGCGCGUAGGCGGUUUUUUAAGUCUGAUGUGAAAGCCCACGGCUCAACCGUGGAGGGUCAUUGGAAACUGGAAAACUUGAGUGCAGAAGAGGAAAGUGGAAUUCCAUGUGUAGCGGUGAAAUGCGCAGAGAUAUGGAGGAACACCAGUGGCGAAGGCGACUUUUUGGUCUGUAACUGACGCUGAUGUGCGAAAGCGUGGGGAUCAAACAGGAUUAGAUACCCUGGUAGUCCACGCCGUAAACGAUGAGUGCUAAGUGUUAGGGGGUUUCCGCCCCUUAGUGCUGCAGCUAACGCAUUAAGCACUCCGCCUGGGGAGUACGACCGCAAGGUUGAAACUCAAAGGAAUUGACGGGGACCCGCACAAGCGGUGGAGCAUGUGGUUUAAUUCGAAGCAACGCGAAGAACCUUACCAAAUCUUGACAUCCUUUGACAACUCUAGAGAUAGAGCCUUCCCCUUCGGGGGACAAAGUGACAGGUGGUGCAUGGUUGUCGUCAGCUCGUGUCGUGAGAUGUUGGGUUAAGUCCCGCAACGAGCGCAACCCUUAAGCUUAGUUGCCAUCAUUAAGUUGGGCACUCUAAGUUGACUGCCGGUGACAAACCGGAGGAAGGUGGGGAUGACGUCAAAUCAUCAUGCCCCUUAUGAUUUGGGCUACACACGUGCUACAAUGGACAAUACAAAGGGCAGCGAAACCGCGAGGUCAAGCAAAUCCCAUAAAGUUGUUCUCAGUUCGGAUUGUAGUCUGCAACUCGACUACAUGAAGCUGGAAUCGCUAGUAAUCGUAGAUCAGCAUGCUACGGUGAAUACGUUCCCGGGUCU
rnacentral:rRNA from 1 species